rnacentral:rRNA from 1 species
AUUGAACGCUGGCGGCAGGCCUAACACAUGCAAGUCGAGCGGAUGAAGGGAGCUUGCUCCUGGAUUCAGCGGCGGACGGGUGAGUAAUGCCUAGGAAUCUGCCUGGUAGUGGGGGAUAACGUCCGGAAACGGGCGCUAAUACCGCAUACGUCCUGAGGGAGAAAGUGGGGGAUCUUCGGACCUCACGCUAUCAGAUGAGCCUAGGUCGGAUUAGCUAGUUGGUGGGGUAAAGGCCUACCAAGGCGACGAUCCGUAACUGGUCUGAGAGGAUGAUCAGUCACACUGGAACUGAGACACGGUCCAGACUCCUACGGGAGGCCGCAGUCGGGAAUACUGGACAAUGGGCGAAAGCCUGAUCCAGCCGUGCCGCGUGUGUGAAGAAGGUCUUCGGAUUGUAAAGCACUUUAAGUUGGGAGGAAGGGCAUUAAGUUAAUACCUUGCUGUUUUGACGUUACCAACAGAAUAAGCACCGGCUAACUUCGUG